rnacentral:rRNA from 1 species
UAGGGAAUUUUGCGCAAUGGACGAAAGUCUGACGCAGCAACUCCGCGUGAAGGAUGAAGGUCUUCGGAUUGUAAACUUCUGUUGAGUGGGAAGAAAAGUUGGCGCGCUAAUAUCGCGUCGAUCUGACGGUACUACUCGAGAAAGCUCCGGCUAACUACGUGCCAGCAGCCGCGGUAAUACGUAGGGAGCUAGCGUUGUUCGGAAUCACUGGGCGUAAAGGGAGUGUAGGCGGGUAUGUAAGUUAGAAGUGAAAUGUACAGGCUCAACCUGUGAUCUGCUUCUAAUACUGCGUAUCUUGAGUAUGGGAGAGGAAGAUGGAAUUCCAGGUGUAGUGGUAAAAUACGUAGAUAUCUGGAAGAACACCAGUUGCGAAGGCGGUCUUCUGGCCCAAUACUGACGCUGAGGCUCGAAAGCUAGGGGAGCAAACAGG